rnacentral:tRNA from 1 species
CGGAGUGUGGCUCAGCUUGGUAGAGUAUCUCGCUUGGGACGAGGAGGUCGUAGGUUCAAAUCCUAUCACUCCGACCA